rnacentral:lncRNA from 1 species
UUGGUUUCUGCCAUUUGUUUCUCGCCACACUAAGGUGUCAAGACAAAGUUUGGAGAAGCCUCAAAGAAGUACUCUAGGAACAAUGUGAUUGGGGUAGGUAUUUCCCACACAGUCAAGCUCCCUGAGGGAAGAACCCUGGGUAAAGCUCACCUAUGAAGUCCCCAAAAUUACUGAGUACCCAACUCAGAGCUGACUUUUAAUGAAUAUUUUUUAAAUGCGCAAAUGAAUAAUGAAUGAUUAUUUUGAAAAUUAUCUUGG